CAUGGCCAACUGCACCCACUGCUACAGCUGCUUUCAGCCUCCCAUGUGACUCAAAGCACAAUGUCACAGUGUACCUCACAUCUCACAAGCCAUACCUCCUCCCACCCCUGACACUGAGAAACCACCGAGCCCCACUAAGCUCCUCUCUAUACAUAUACCCUGACUGGCCCACAAAGCUUCUGUUGUAGGCAGGCAGGGAAGGAGGAUGUAACACUAGCCUAUACCACCAUCUAUGUCAUGAAAUCUGGCUUCCCCAGCAGCUGCCCACAGGAGCCAGACUCUUUCUUUUAGGAUUUCCUGUCUGUCUCUACUUGCCCAGAUUGUUCUCCCCGGCCACAGCUGGCUACAGCUGAUAUAUUCAUCUUUCGUGCUUUCAACAAACACCACUCAGAGGAAGCCACUUCAACCCUGAAAAAGUCCCAAGGAAGGAGAAACAAAGGCAAGUCCUUGAGCCUGUUAUUCAGGGAACAGAUGGGUCAAGACACACAGCACAGUUCUUAGUAAGCUCCACAUUGCUCCUUCUGGUACCAGAAAGCUUCUCUAGAAAUGCAGAUUUCCAUACUCAUGGCUGCUGCCCAGCUUCUUGCCUCAGAAGAACAAGAUGGUUGUACAUGCCUUCUCCUUUGUUAAUAUCUUCUUAAUGUGAGACUGUGUACACCACGUUGGUCUAUGCCCAAAAGAAACCAGUGUCUCCUCAUCGCCAGCUAAUUAAGUCCAAUAUCCUUUCAAGUCUCAGACAACCUGAACCUGACCUCUUUUCCUAAUCCUAUUUCACACUGUCUAGGGUGCUAACAUCCAGGAGAAAAUCAAACAUCGUUCAUUUUUCAGUUGCUC
ensembl:lncRNA